AUGCUGAUUCUAGCUGCCGGAUUCCUCAAGUACAGUGAGAGGGUGUGGGCACUGUAUCGCGCAAGCAAGAAGCUUUUCAAAGGGUUAAGUGUGGGAAUACUUGCUUGUCUGAAUUAUUGGAUUUUCAGUUAUUUUAUUCAGCAAAGGAAUUCUUUGGAGUCUGCUUAUGAAGCAAGAGGCUGCUUCACCAAAUAUAAGCAGUUUAGAACUUAUGCAUUUACUGUAAUGUCAGCGCACAGGGCUCAAUAUAUUGUCAGGUGCAUAGUCAUAGAUAGGAAUGAGGCGUCCACAGGCUGGUAUGAUUCGUUGACCUCCAAAGCAGGUACUGUACGACGAGAAUAUAACUGGGAAGACUACGAGAGUCAAUAUGAAUUGAAGAGGGAGGAAGAUGCAUCUCCAAAGGAGAGGGGGCAAACCGGGGAGGUGUACAAGGCAAUAGAGGUGGAGCUCGCCCUGAUGUACGACAUGCUUUACACCAAGGCAGUAGUGAUCCACACAUGCAAGAGAGAUGGCUACAACACUCCCGACAUUGUUAUCACUUUUGCUUUUCUGGGCGGAGCUUGCGCACUCGAGGUGGCAUCAGUUAUCAAGACUAUUGGGUCGACCUAG
rnacentral:rRNA from 1 species